AAGGAAGAUACAGAAAAUAGUAAGCACUGCUAAUUCUUACGCUCCAUGGUUAAAAUCCCUGGCUUCCUUG
rnacentral:tRNA from 1 species